rnacentral:rRNA from 1 species
GAUGAACGCUGGCGGCGUGCUUAACACAUGCAAGUCGAACGGUGAACGAGGGAGCUUGCUCCCUCCGGAUCAGUGGCGAACGGGUGAGUUACACGUGAGCAAUCUGCCCUGGACUCUGGGAUAAGCGUUGGGAACGACGUCUAAUACCGGAUACGAGACGUGAAGGCAUCUUCAACGUCUGGAAAGAACUUCGGUCCAGGAUGAGCUCGCGGCCUAUCAGGUAGUUGGUGAGGUAAUGGCUCACCAAGCCUACGACGGGUAGCCGGCCUGAGAGGGUGACCGGCCACACUGGGACUGAGACACGGCCCAGACUCCUACGGGAGGCAGCAGUGGGGAAUAUUGCACAAUGGGCGCAAGCCUGAUGCAGCAACGCCGCGUGAGGGACGACGGCCUUCGGGUUGUAAACCUCUUUUAGCAGGGAAGAAGCGAAAGUGACGGUACCUGCAGAAAAAGCACCGGCUAACUACGUGCCAGCCGCCGCCGUAACAC